rnacentral:tRNA from 1 species
GGCAAGAUGGCCGAGCGGUUAAGGUUGGUGUCAUGCCAAGGAAACUGGCGUGGGUUCGAGUCCCACUCUUGUCA